AUCAGUAACUCAGGCUGUUUCCCACACUACAGGCCAGCACUGUGGGCUCUCAGUUUAUUGGGAAAUGGAAAUAAGAGGGAAGGACAAAAGUCCACUGGGAAGCAGACUGGACAGAAAGGAACUCUGAGCAGCUAAACUCUGACUAAUCCCAGGGUAUACCUGCGUUUUCUCUUCACCAGACAAACUGCGGCCUGGACCAGCUGGUGAAACAUAAUUCUGAAUCCUGCCCACAGCCUUCGGUGGUUUUGGAUGAAAGGCCAGCGCCUUGGGAGCCCUGCGUUUGAUUUCAAGUUUUAAGGCCGGCACUGGUGGAGCAAUGAAUGGUGAAAGCUCUCCCCUUAAAGGAGCACAGUUGCCUUUAGGUGACUGCUAACUCAGGCUUUUGCUGAGGACAGUGUUUACUUUGUGAGCUUAAUGACAGGGCUGGCUUUCUGGGAGUGUUGCAAUGAAACAGACUCAGACACAGGCCAUCAUGGGCCUCCUCCCUAGCAAGGCCGCCACGGCUGGCAUCUCAAGAGCAGUCCGUUGAACUUGGGAUUUGGGUGUGAGACACAGUUUCAUCAGAAGAAUUUAAACCAAAGUCUACAUUUGCCCUCUAGAUAAAUGUGUGUGUUCAGCAGCAACCACAA